rnacentral:rRNA from 1 species
GAUGAACGCUGGCGGCGUGCCUAAUACAUGCCAGUCGAGCGAACAGACGAGAGUGCUUGCACUCUCUGACGUUAGCGGCGGACGGGUGAGUAACACGUGGGUAACCUACCUAUAAGACUGGGAUAACUUCGGGAAACCGGAGCUAAUACCGGAUAAUAUUUAGCUUCGCAUGAAGCAAUAGUGAAAGACGGUUCUGCUGUCACUUAUAGAUGGACCCGCGGUGUAUUAGCUAGUUGGUGAGGUAACGGCUCACCAAGGCAACGAUACAUAGCCGACCUGAGAGGGUGAUCGGCCACACUGGGACUGAGACACGGCCCAGACUCCUACGGGAGGCAGCAGUAGGGAAUCUUCCGCAAUGGACGAAAGUCUGACGGAGCAAUGCCGCGUGAGUGAAGAAGGUUUUCGGAUCGUAAAACUCUGUUGUAAGGGAAGAACAAGUACGUUAGUAACUGAACGUACCUUGACGGUACCUUACCAGAAAGCCACGGCUAACUACG